rnacentral:sRNA from 1 species
AGGGUCGGACGGUAUAUUUGAUCGAUAAAUCCGCGGUCACACUGAUCUCAAUUGCGGAACAUAAGGCCGUUUUGAAGCCCAACUGUGGCCCACAACUCCGCCCUGCCUCAGCCAGACCACCAGAUCGGCCAGGUGGAUCUUAGCCGACCAGAUCUUAGCCCGAAUCUGAAGAAAACCAAGCUGGAUGAGGCCUCGACGGCGGGGUUGAUGCAAGCACAUAAACGGAUCAGGGCGUGGUGUCUAUGAUGAGCUUCCAUCUGCGUCGCAAAAAGGGACUGGAACAAACCCUGGCGGCCAAGCUUACACCAAAGGCGUACGUCAAGGAGACUCAUGCCGUGCCCGGGCUGCCGGAGCUGCUGGAUCCUGCAUUCCCAACAAGACACGUCUGGACAGAUUAUGCGCCACUACGGCAGUGCAAGGGCAUCCGCCAGUUGCAGGCUUUGUACGUGUCCCACCUGCACGCGGAUCAUCACAUUGGAUUGAUUGGACUGCUGAAGGAGCGCAGAUAGCUGGCCCCGAAGGAAACUCGCUGCUCUUACUUGCGCCGCGGCAGAUCGAGCCAUGGAUGGAGUUCUAACAAGGAUAGCUCUUGGCGAGACUCCUGACUGGAGAGGCAGUGGCACCAUUGGGCAUAACUGCCGCCACUGCCAAGUCACCAGUAGGAACUGCCAAGCCGCCAGUGCGAACAGCUGCUUAAAAUCUUGCGAGACGCUUGGCGAUGCUGUGGAUGAUCGAGUUCAGCCCAACAAUCAACCUUUGCGGAAUGAGAGGAGCAGCAGCAAGGCAAGAAGGUGAGUUCUGGGUGAAAACUUGUCUCAUUGUCCUAUGCAGGAUGCCGAUCAGGAUUUGUACUAAAACCAGGACAGUUCGGCUAACUCGUCGCAGUCCUCGGUGGGCAUUGAUGACUAUUGGGAUGAGGCUCUGGUCGGCGACUAUGGAAGCACUCAGAAUGAUGACAGCGAUGACUUGGAUGGUCACAACAACUAGCCACCUAUCGAUGGGCGAAAAGAACCCGGCCGCAACGAGUUGCGUUACUAUUGGCGAUCAUGAGGUCAUGGACUGCAAAGAACAAUUCGACAAGCAGCAACAUUACUUGGGCCGAGCAGGGCAGUAAAUGUAAAAGUUGUACAGCACUAUCUUUAAAGCGUGCUCCGGCGGUCUUAAGCCUUCUGCACCAUGUUUUACAUCAUCGGUUUCGACCGGGAGCGCAGACAGCUGGCCCCGAAGGAAACUCGCUGCUCUUACUUGCGCCGCGGCAGAUCGAGCCAUGGAUGGAGUUCUAACACGGAUAGCUCUUGGCGAGACUCCUGACUGCAGAGGCAGUGGCACCAUUGGGCGUAACUGCCGCCACUGCCAAGUCACCAGUAGGAACUGCGAAGCCGCCAGUACGAACAGCUGCUUAAAAUCUUGCGAGACGCUUGGCGAUGCUGUGGAUGAUCAAGUUCAGCCCAACAAUCAACAGUUGCGGAAUGAGAGGAGCAGCAACAGGACAAGAAGGAUGCCGAUCAGGAUUUCUACUAAAACCAGGACAGUUCGGCUAACUCGUCGCAGUCCUCGGUGGGCAUUGAUGACUAUUGGGAUGAAGCUCUGGUCGGCGACUAUGGAAGCACUCAGAAUGAUGACAGCGAUGACUUGGACGGGCACAACAACUAGCCACCUAUCGAUGGGCAGCAAGGAGAAGAACCCGGCCGCAACGAGUUGCGUUACUAUUGGCGAUCAUGAGGUCAUGGACUGCAAAGAACAAUUCGACAAGCAGCAACAUUACUUGGGCCGAGCAGGGCAGUAAAUGUGAAAGUUGUACAGCACUAUCUUAAAAGCGUGCUCCGGCGGUCUUAAGCCUUCUGCACCAUGUUUUACAUCAUCGGUUUCGACCGGAUCCAGUGGCCUAAAAAGUGCUAUAGAGCGAUCCUCUCUUACCCCACCAGGAGGUCACCCCCUCCGGUGGCCAUGAAUACCUUUUGCAUGACCGCGAAUACCGAAUUACCCACCAUCGUUUAACUGGGGCUUCACACUUCAGGUCCUCCGGUUUAGCUGAACGAGUGGGCGCUCGAUGGCGGCUGUCCACUCCAGGCGCCUACCGGCUGACAUCGCGAGCUCCCCACCGGCUCUUGGGACAUGACUUACAUCGCGCGAGCUGUGGCCUCUAGCCUGGACGACCUUUGGGUCCUCUCGGGAUGUGUAAGGGAUGUGCUCCUGGCUGGACUGUGGCAGGCACUGUCUGUCCUCCUGCGGGCCAAAGCCAUGAUGCCACUACUGUGUCGCUGAAUCGACAAUGUGGCGUCCCGUCCGCUGCAGCAGGGACCACUGAUCGACUUCAGAAUUGUGGGUUCACGCCCACGGUAAUCAAACGCUGGUCUUCAGCCUCGAGGCGCAGGGCUUAUGUACCAUAUCCAAGCAUUGCCGAAUCGUAUCCCAGCAGGACAAAAGCGCACCCCUUGGAAGAGCCCAAAUCUAACAAGCCGACGUCACAUUUCGACCUGGCCAUUGAAAACUAUCUCAAGGACUUUGGCUAUGGCAACCAAGGGAGGGAUACGCGGACUACCAGACUAUAGAUAGAUCUCGUUGUUAAUAGGUUUAAGGAUACACACGUCUGUACAUUUAGAUAGUAGAUAUAAAUAUUUCCAAAUUGUUAAUUUCUUUAUAGUAAGUUAACGUUAUUAUGAAUAAAACUAUUGAAAAAUUA